GCGAAGGUGGCGGAAUUGGUAGACGCGCUAGCUUCAGGUGCUUAGUGUCCGUUACGGACGUGGGGGUUCAAGUCCCCCCCCUCGCACCA
rnacentral:tRNA from 1 species